rnacentral:hammerhead_ribozyme from 1 species
GCACUGCUGAGGAGUCCCAUAAUAAGACGAAAUGUCCGUCCAGUGC